rnacentral:rRNA from 1 species
CUUCCGUAAGGGGUGACCUGCGGAAGGAUCAUUACUGAUUUGCUUAAUUGCACCACAUGUGUUUUUUAUUGAACAAAUUUCUUUGGUGGCGGGAGCAAUCCUACCGCCAGAGGUUAUAACUAAACCAAACUUUUUAUUUACAGUCAAACUUGAUUUAUUAUUACAAUAGUCAAAACUUUCAACAACGGAUCUCUUGGUUCUCGCAUCGAUGAAGAACGCAGCGAAAUGCGAUACGUAAUAUGAAUUGCAGAUAUUCGUGAAUCAUCGAAUCUUUGAACGCACAUUGCGCCCUUUGGUAUUCCAAAGGGCAUGCCUGUUUGAGCGUCAUUUCUCCCUCAAACCCCCGGGUUUGGUGUUGAGCAAUACGCUAGGUUUGUUUGAAAGAAUUUAACGUGGAAACUUAUUUUAAGCGACUUAGGUUUAUCCAAAACGCUUAUUUUGCUAGUGGCCACCACAAUUUAUUUCAUAACUUUGACCUCAAAUCAGGUAGGACUACCCGCUGAACUUAAGCAUAUCAAUAANNGGGAGGA